CCCUCCCCUCCCCCCACACGAACCCAUUCACUGAUUCAAAACAGUCACCUUUUAAAUGACUUUUUUGAGCCUUAACUCCAGAUUAACUUGUGAGAAUCAAGAACAAAUCCCUCAAAUUGCUUUGCAUCCUCUUGGACCAGGGCUUGCAAGGGGAUUUGGGUUUCUAUGAGCCUGCCCAGUUUACCCCGUAAAAUAGGACUUUUUUAGAAUCCCAUCGCCACUUCUAAAAUCCUAGUAACACAUCAGCGAGAUAACUUUUAUUCGUUAUUUUACAAACCAAAUCGGUUUACUCAAUUAAAAACCAGUGUCCUGUGAACAAGUUCCAGUUGGAAAACACUACAGUUGUGGAUAGAACCGUAGCCAUUCCCAGCCCCCUACACUGUUUUACAUUAUUCAGGGGGGGGGGCAUUUUUAAAUACCAUCGAUUCAAAGAGCGGUGGCUUGCUCUUUUUUUUUAGGUGAAUGUUUUUGUUUUGGAGGCUUUUGUUUUUUAGUUUGAGGCUCAAUUCUUUAUUUAUACUUGAAAAACAAACAAACAAGGCCAUAUGUAAAGAAAAAAACCCUUUCAAUGCCUAAGUGUCUUUUCUUCCACCACUCCACACCCACAUUUGCCACUUGGGGUGCACAGAUAAGGGUAGGUCACCAACUGAUUAUGCCUGUCGCCGAGCCAUACAAAAGGCUUCUUAUUCGGGGGGGGGGUAUAUAUAUAUAUAUAAAGGAAUAGCCAACUCUUACUGAAAAAAGACAAGCAAAAGUGGUUACCUAUACCUAGCAUGGUACAAUCUAAAUUUCAUGGGGACUGUAGGGGACAGGCUUGUCACCACUGGCCGUUCUUCCUAUAGUGAUUAACGGUGGAGGGCCGACUCAGUCCCCUUUAAUCCCUAAACCGCCCUCUCCCCCUUAUUUUUCCAGUCUGUCAAUCACUCUGGGAAAAUGCUAGCCAUGCAUACCUUCCUGGCAAUGUUUUCUGCUCGCCUGACAGCCUGCCGUGUUUCUUCAGACGGAUCAUCGGUGUAGAUAGAAUCAGCAUGCUUCUGCGUUCGUUGGGAGGUGUUUUUCUUUGUUGGGAUGACUGGUUGGGGCUGUCGUAGGAAAGGUGCAGGGGGCUGCCAUCUCCGCCAUGUGGAGAGAGGGGUCUCCAUGCUAGGAGACUCUAGACUGCCUCCAGCCAGCCUCCAGUGCUGUGGAGAGACUGUCCCAGCCUGAGGGACUCUCCUUGGGCCCUCUCACCUCUCUACAAAGCACAACACUAAUCUGUUUCCUCAGACCUCUGUUCAAGUGCCCCUAUUUAUUUCGAUAAGAAUGCGCAUCCCUGUCUGUCGCCCUGUGGUGUCGGGCGCAUCCCUGUCCGGCGCCCCGCGGUGUCGCGCGCCGCUCUGCCGUAUCCGGCACCCGCAGUGUCCCGCGCCUUGCAGUGUCGCCUCUGUCCUCGUUUGUGCUUCCCUCUUCCCUUGCUGGUUCCCACCCUCCUAAGAGUUAUGCUAGUGGAUCUUACUCCGUGCAUCAUCGUCUUUUGGUUCGUGAAGGCAGCGGUUAAGGGCACAAAGAUAGCCAUGGGGACAUUUAUGUAAAUACGUUUAAUUGCCACACUGCAGCUGAACGGUGUGUAGUAUUUUCCCAGUCAGCUUUGCCAUACUGACGUCAAUCAUUUGAGAGAAAUUAUUCAGAUUUUAUUUUUAUAUCCGUGGUAACAAAACCUAACCAAAAGGUUUCCUGUUGAGAAGUUUCCCUGACUCUUAUCCCAAGCUAUUCGCUCACAUUAACAAAUUAAAGUGCCUGAAGCAAAAUUCAUUUACCUGUACACUAAAACCCCUGUUGUAUUGAUUUUUUUUUAUAAUAAGCCUUUUUACCUCUGUAAAAAAAUAUAUAUAUACAAGUGUAUGAUGUACAUUUUAGUUCUUAACUUUUUUUAUGGUUUCUAAUAUGUAUGACCAAUGUAGCCAUUGCUUUGAAAUGUACCAUGUAAAUAUAAACACAUCCUAUCAGACC
rnacentral:lncRNA from 1 species